ACCCGCGGAAGGAUCAUUACCGGUGGGGCUCGGCGCCUGCCGCGUUGCCGGGCCGUCCGGCCGGCCGCGCGCGCGCGGCGCCGCCGCGACGCCCGCCCGUUCGCGACGCUCGGCCCCCGCUCCGCCGCCGGCCUCGGUCGGCACCGGGGCCACACGCCCUUCCUGCCGCCGCCGCGCCGCAGCCCCAGAGAGAGAGACGGAGGCGCGCGGCACCUCCGGGCGGGGAGGGUGGGUCGGAAGAAGGAGAAGCGGGGGGGGGCCGCCGCCGGGCGCGGGGCGAAGCGCGCCACGCGCGCCCGUCACCGUGCGCGCGGGCGGGGCUCUCCCCGCGCUACACCGCGCGCCGCGGCCGGGCCUCGGCGCGGCGCGCUCGCCGCCGCCGCGGCGGCCUGUCUUUCCCCGCUUUUUUCCCCCCCCCCUCCCGCCUUUGCGCCGGGUCUGCCGCCGGUCCGGCCCCGCCGGAGAGCGGGGAAAGCCGGCCGGCCCCGAGCCCUCUCGCCGCCGCGGCCGGGCGCCGGGCCGAACGCCGGUCGCCGGGCGAAGCGCGCGGGCGCCGCCCUGGCGCGGCCCGAAGUCCUCCCGAGCCCGGCUCUUCCUCGCUGUGCGCGCGAGAAGCCGCCCGGGUGCCGGGAGGGGAGGGGUGCCCGGCACGCCCCUCCCGGAGGCGCGCCCCGUCCCUCCCCUCGCCGCUUCGCCCGCCGAAGCCGCGGCCGGCCGCCGUCGCCGCCGCGGCGCCCGCCGGGCGGCCGAUGUGGCAAUGGCGAGGGAGCGGGUGGCGGGGCGCCUUCGGGGCUCGGAGGAGGCGGCUCCUCCGGCCCUUCCCCGCACCGGGGAGCGGGGCUUUGCCGCGGCCGGCAGAGUCCCGUUCUCGGGCCGAGCCGGCUUGGCGCGGCAGAGGGAAACCCCCCGAGGGCCGAGCCCCUCCGGGCGCUCCGGCCGCGCCCGGGGCGCGCGGCGCGCGCGCGCGCGGGGUCGCCGGGCGGUCGGGCCGGGUCCCCGCGCCGGGCGGGGCGCGAAGCCGCGGCCGCCCUUCGGGCGCAGCGCCGGGUUACUGAGGGAAACCCCGGCCCCGAGAAAGGACGCCGCGGUGGUGGCGGCAGACGCCGGGUGCGCCCCGCCGGGUGGGACGCUCCCCGAGGGCGGCAGCGGGGGGAGGCACGCCGGGCGGGGCCAUGCAGGUCGUUUCCCUCGCCCCAGGGCCAGGUACCUAGCGCCCGCGCCUCGGGCGGUCCCCCAGGUUUUCCCGCCGGGCGCCGCCAAACGCUGUUGCGGGGGGGCGAAAGGCCGGGCGAGCCGGGGCGGCGGUUUAAAGACUCGGGCGGCUCCGGCGCUGCCCGCCGCCGUGGCGGCGGGCGGUGCCGGGCGGGCGGCGGGCGGCAGGUGUUGCCGGGCGGUGGUGCGGGCGCCACUGAGGGGUGGGGGAGCAGCUACUCCCGCCGAUCCCCUGCGGUGGUGUCCGUCGCCACCGGCCGCGCCCUCCGUCGCCGCCGUUGCCGUUGCCGUCGCCCCCGCGCGCGCGCGGGGGUAACCGCGCCAGCGCCGGGGAGGGGCGCCCUGCCCCCCUCCGUGGCCCGGCCUCGGCGGAGAGGCGCCGCGGCGCGCGGUCGGCCGCGGGGCCGACCCGCCGCCUCGUCGUAA
ensembl:lncRNA